CCUUACUUGACGCCCUACAUCAAAUGCAUCAUUUCAGGAUGAGAAAAACAAGACACCUGGUGUCAAAGAAGCCAUGGAACUCCACUCAUAUAGAUCACUAAUAUUCAUGUCAUCAGUAUUGAUAACCAGAACCAGCACACCUUCCUUAUGCAUGCGUCCUCCUUGUAAAGGUCAAGAAAUUGAUGAUUUCUUUGGAGUCUUCCAGCACAAGAGAUAACAUCUAAGGAGUGACCAGGCAAGGUUGUCAUGAACGUUCUCCAAGACCAAGGAGUCCAAACACCUUGAUGUCAAGACCCCUGGCCCCCGCGCACUAGUGACUUUUGAAGGACACUUGAGCACCCGUGCCUGUUGGACAAGUUCCUGGUUGCCUGAGAGGUCACAUACACCAGACCACCGACCUAAAUAAAAAUUCCAGAUGCUCACGUAAAGAUGAGACUCGUGCUCCUUUUCCUUUCUGAGUCUCCUAGACGUUCUUAUC